ACUAACUUAUUGCACCAAGUGACGUCUUCCUCGUGGAGUAUAGGAGAAUCCCGUAUAUCGUCUGUUUCACUUCUGAUUCUCCAUUACUCCUUUGACGGAGGAUGUCGCAAAUUAUUCAACAUGGCCAU
rnacentral:precursor_RNA from 11 species